rnacentral:lncRNA from 1 species
CUGCCACCUUGUGAAGAAGGAUGUUUUUGCUUCCCCUUCUGCCAUGAUUCUUCAGUUUGUCAGAACCAGUUGGGAUGCAACAGGAUUUUCAGUUUUGCUGCCUUCCAUGCAUGAAUGGCUUCUGUUAGGUUGGAAUGACCAAGAUGAUUUUUCCACCCAUUCUUGGGACCUGGACUAUGAUGGCCACAGCAGCUAAAGAUGCCAGGUUCUGCAUACUAUGAAACUACUACAUCAGCAGGUCCAAAGGACUCCACUGACUCAACUGAUCUGAGGGACCCCAUGAGAAGCCUACUCAUCAAAGAAUGCAGUUUCUAAAUCCUGAUGAGUUCACCCCCCUUGCCCUGACCAAUCAACAAUCCUAAUUCUCCAGUCCCUUGCCCUCCAUGAUCCUCUUAAAAACCCUAGCCCAGAAUUCCUCAGGAAGAUGGAUUUGAGGGUCUCCUUCCAACUCCUCACUCAGCGCCCUGUGGUCAUUAAACUUUCUCUG